AGUGAACGCUGGCGGUAGGCCUAGCACAUGCAAGUCGAACGGCAGCACAGUAAGAGCUUGCUCUUACGGGUGGCGAGUGGCGGACGGGUGAGGAAUACAUCGGAAUCUACUUUUUCGUGGGGGAUAACGUAGGGAAACUUACGCUAAUACCGCAUACGACCUACGGGUGAAAGCAGGGGAUCUUCGGACCUUGCGCGAUUGAAUGAGCCGAUGUCGGAUUAGCUAGUUGGCGGGGUAAAGGCCCACCAAGGCGACGAUCCGUAGCUGGUCUGAGAGGAUGAUCAGCCACACUGGAACUGAGACACGGUCCAGACUCCUACGGGAGGCAGCAGCGGGGAAUAUUGGACAAUGGGCGCAAGCCUGAUCCAGCCAUACCGCGUGGGUGAAGAAGGCCUUCGGGUUGUAAAGCCCUUUUGUUGGGAAAGAAAAGCAGCAGGUUAAUACCCCGCUGUUCUGACGGUACCCAAAGAAUAAGCACCGGCUAACUUCGUG
rnacentral:rRNA from 1 species